GAUGAACGCUGGCGGCGUGCCUAAUACAUGCAAGUCGAGCGAACAGACGAGGAGCUUGCUCCUCUGACGUUAGCGGCGGACGAGUGAGUAACACGUGGAUAACCUACCUAUAAGACUGGGAUAACUUCGGGAAACCGGAGCUAAUACCGGAUAAUAUAUUGAACCGCAUGGUUCAAUAGUGAAAGACGGUUUUGCUGUCACUUAUAGAUGGAUCCGCGCCGCAUUAGCUAGUUGGUAAGGUAACGGCUUACCAAGGCAACGAUGCGUAGCCGACCUGAGAGGGUGAUCGGCCACACUGGAACUGAGACACGGUCCAGACACCUACGGGAGGCAGCAGUAGGGAAUCUUCCGCAAUGGGCGAAAGCUUGACGGAGCAACGCCGCGUGAGUGAUGAAGGUCUUCGGAUCGUAAAACUCUGUUAUUAGGGAAGAACAAAUGUGUAAGUAACUAUGCACGUCUUGACGGUACCUAAUCAGAAAGCCACGGCUAACUACGUG
rnacentral:rRNA from 1 species